rnacentral:rRNA from 1 species
CGACCGGCGCACGGGUGAGUAACGCGUAUGUAAUCUACCUGUAACAGAGGGAUAACCCGGAGAAAUCCGGACUAAUACCUCAUAGCAUAUAUUAUUCGCAUGAAUUUUAUGUUAAAGAGACUCGGUUACAGAUGAACAUGCGUUCCAUUAGCUAGUUGGCGGGGUUACGGCCCACCAAGGCAACGAUGGAUAGGGGUUCUGAGAGGAAGGUCCCCCACACUGGUACUGAGACACGGACCAG